GAAGUUUUAUUAUUUUAAGUGCAGUUGUAACAGCUGGAGCUUGGACGGAUUAUUUUCGGUCAACUCAUCUUUGUGACCAAGAUCAUCCAACACUUGAUCUUUUCCAUGUUGAUCAGUAUCAACAGAUCAGCUUUGAUCUACUUCUUCCACGCUUGCUGUCAGGGCACUGCACGGGGCACUGUGUGUGACAUCCGUGGAGUUUCCUUAUUGGUCUUUUUAAAAUCAAUCCAUCCCUGACUUAUAUGAGCUCAGCUGUUUGGAAGAUGGACAUUGAGAGUCCCCGCUCAUCUUGCUUCCACGAGGUGAUGAAACAGCAGCAGGUUUCUGUUCAGCAUUUCCAUGCCUGACUCCUUUUCUACCAGCGGGAGAAGGUUUCAUCAGAAAUUGACCUCUACCAAGUCUGCAAAACAGAGGAAAAGAAACAAUGAAGCUCCGGCUGGUGCUUCCAGCUAUUUG